CCGGUGGAAGCAUGCGUGGCUAUUGUUAAACCCAGAGGCUUCCUGCUGUAAAGCUGCCGCUUAAUCGCUUAAUCGACUCACUGCUCUGCAAGGCAAAGCAAUGCAAAAGGGUUGUGUUGAGGGGAAAGACCAUUGUUUUAGCCUCAUUGGUUCCUGCUUUUAGACAAAGGCAGUGAUAAGAUCUAAGGAAGCUAGAGAGAGAAAUCUACUGCAGGACCCUUGGAGAUGUAGAUUAGUAUUUUACACGCCAGUGGCAGCGUGGAAUUUCAGCAGAGCUGAUUGGUGACAAGGUUUGUGCAGGGAUGAGGGUAGCGAGGAUUUGCCCAAGAGCAAUGGACAGAGACCCCAAAAGGCCCUUGGGUCUGCACAGCCAUCUCCAGGCAGGGCUACCACGGCCUGGCUCAGCACAGUGGCUCAGGGUGCAUUUCUGUCGCGUGAUAGAAGCUCUGUUUGCCUUGAGCAGGGCGAGUUGCUUCACAACUGCUGCCUGCUGUUUGCCUCUGAAGCAAAGGUCGUUCUCCCCUACAGGCGUAUUAUUGCUGUUAUUAUUGGCUGGCAUGGUGUGACUCAUCAGAGGAAAAAAAAGAAAUAGACACCAGGCAACUUUGAGCUUGGGCACGCA
rnacentral:lncRNA from 1 species